rnacentral:rRNA from 1 species
GACGAACGCUGGCGGCGUGCCUAAUACAUGCAAGUUGAGCGCUGAAGGCUGGUACUUGUACCAACUGGAUGAGCAGCGCACGGGUGAGUAACGCGUGGGGAAUCUGCCUUUGAGCGGGGGACAACCUUUGGAAACGAAUGCUAAUACCGCAUAAAAACUUUAAACACAAGUUUUAAGUUUGAAAGAUGCAAUUGCAUCACUCAAAGAUGAUCCCGCGUUGUAUUAGCUAGUUGGUGAGGUAAAGGCUCACCAAGGCGAUGAUACAUAGCCGACCUGAGAGGGUGAUCGGCCAGAAUGGGACUGAGACACGGCCCAAACGCCUACGGGAGGCAGCAGGAGGGAAUCUUCGGCAAGGGACGGAAGGCUGACCGAGCAACGCCGCGGGAGUGAAGAAGGUUUUCGGAUCGUAAAACUCUGUUGGUAGAGAAGAACGUUGGUGAGAGUGGAAAGCUCAUUAAGUGACGGUAACUACCCAGAAAGGGACGGCUAACUACGUG